GACGUAGGGCGCGAGCGUUGUCCGGAUUUAUUGGGCGUAAAGAGCUCGUAGGCGGCUCGUUGCGUCAACCGUGAAAACCCGGGGCUUAACUUCGGGCUUGCGGUUGAUACGGGCGGGCUGGAGUUCGGUAGGGGAGAUCGGAAUUCCUGGUGUAGCGGUGAAAUGCGCAGAUAUCAGGAGGAACACCGGUGGCGAAGGCGGAUCUCUGGGCCAUUACUGACGCUGAGGAGCGAAAGCGUGGGGAGCGAACAGG
rnacentral:rRNA from 1 species